rnacentral:misc_RNA from 1 species
GAAAUGCGAUAAGUAAUGUGAAUUUCAGAAUUCCGUGAAUCAUCGAAUCUUUGAACGCACAUUGCGCCCCCUGGCAUUCCGGGGGGCAUGCCUGUCCGAGCGUCAUUUCUGCCCUCAAGCACGGCUUGUGUGUUGGGUGUGGUCCCCCCGGGGACCUGCCCGAAAGGCAGCGGCGACGUCCGUCUGGUCCUCGAGCGUAUGGGGCUCUGUCACUCGCUCGGGAAGGACCUGCGGGGGUUGGUCACCACCAUAUUUCACCACGGUUGACCUCGGAUCAGGUAGGAGUUACCCGCUGAACUUAAGC